rnacentral:rRNA from 1 species
UUGAACGCUGGCGGCAGGCCUAACACAUGCAAGUCGAACGGUAACAGGAAGCAGCUUGCUGUUUCGCUGACGAGUGGCGGACGGGUGAGUAAUGUCUGGGAAACUGCCUGAUGGAGGGGGAUAACUACUGGAAACGGUAGCUAAUACCGCAUAACGUCGCAAGACCAAAGAGGGGGACCUUCGGGCCUCUUGCCAUCGGAUGUGCCCAGAUGGGAUUAGCUAGUAGGUGGGGUAACGGCUCACCUAGGCGACGAUCCCUAGCUGGUCUGAGAGGAUGACCAGCCACACUGGAACUGAGACACGGUCCAGACUCCUACGGGAGGCAGCAGUGGGGAAUAUUGCACAAUGGGCGCAAGCCUGAUGCAGCCAUGCCGCGUGUAUGAAGAAGGCCUUCGGGUUGUAAAGUACUUUCAGCGGGGAGGAAGGGAGUAAAGUUAAUACCUUUGCUCAUUGACGUUACCCGCAGAAGAAGCACCGGCUAACUCCGUGCCAGCAGCCGCGGUAAUACGGAGGGUGCAAGCGUUAAUCGGAAUUACUGGGCGUAAAGCGCACGCAGGCGGUUUGUUAAGUCAGAUGUGAAAUCCCCGGGCUCAACCUGGGAACUGCAUCUGAUACUGGCAAGCUUGAGUCUCGUAGAGGGGGGUAGAAUUCCAGGUGUAGCGGUGAAAUGCGUAGAGAUCUGGAGGAAUACCGGUGGCGAAGGCGGCCCCCUGGACGAAGACUGACGCUCAGGUGCGAAAGCGUGGGGAGCAAACAGGAUUAGAUACCCUGGUAGUCCACGCCGUAAACGAUGUCGACUUGGAGGUUGUGCCCUUGAGGCGUGGCUUCCGGAGCUAACGCGUUAAGUCGACCGCCUGGGGAGUACGGCCGCAAGGUUAAAACUCAAAUGAAUUGACGGGGGCCCGCACAAGCGGUGGAGCAUGUGGUUUAAUUCGAUGCAACGCGAAGAACCUUACCUGGUCUUGACAUCCACAGAACUUUCCAGAGAUGGAUUGGUGCCUUCGGGAACUGUGAGACAGGUGCUGCAUGGCUGUCGUCAGCUCGUGUUGUGAAAUGUUGGGUUAAGUCCCGCAACGAGCGCAACCCUUAUCCUUUGUUGCCAGCGGUCCGGCCGGGAACUCAAAGGAGACUGCCAGUGAUAAACUGGAGGAAGGUGAGGAUGACGUCAAGUCAUCAUGGCCCUUACGACCAGGGCUACACACGUGCUACAAUGGCGCAUACAAAGAGAAGCGACCUCGCGAGAGCAAGCGGACCUCAUAAAGUGCGUCGUAGUCCGGAUUGGAGUCUGCAACUCGACUCCAUGAAGUCGGAAUCGCUAGUAAUCGUGGAUCAGAAUGCCACGGUGAAUACGUUCCCGGGCCUUGUACACACCGCCCGUCACACCAUGGGAGUGGGUUGCAAAAGAAGUAGGUAGCUUAACCUUCGGGAGGGCGCUUACCACUUUGUGAUUCAUGACUGGGGUG